rnacentral:rRNA from 1 species
CCCGUAACGAGCGCAACCCUUGUCCUUAGUUACCAGCACGUUAUGGUGGGCACUCUAAGGAGACUGCCGGUGACAAACCGGAGGAAGGUGGGGAUGACGUCAAGUCAUCAUGGCCCUUACGGCCAGGGCUACACACGUGCUACAAUGGUCGGUACAAAGGGUUGCCAAGCCGCGAGGUGGAGCUAAUCCCAUAAAACCGAUCGUAGUCCGGAUCGCAGUCUGCAACUCGACUGCGUGAAGUCGGAAUCGCUAGUAAUCGUGAAUCAGAAUGUCACGGUGAAUACGUU